AUUGAACGCUGGCGGCAUGCCUUACACAUGCAAGUCGAACGGCAGCACGGGAGCAAUCCUGGUGGCGAGUGGCGAACGGGUGAGUAAUAUAUCGGAACGUGCCCAGUCGUGGGGGAUAACGUAGCGAAAGCUACGCUAAUACCGCAUACGAUCUAUGGAUGAAAGCGGGGGAUCGCAAGACCUCGCGCGAUUGGAGCGGCCGAUAUCAGAUUAGGUUGUUGGUGGGGUAAAAGCCUACCAAGCCUGCGAUCUGUAGCUGGUCUGAGAGGACGACCAGCCACACUGGAACUGAGACACGGUCCAGACUCCUACGGGAGGCAGCAGUGGGGAAUUUUGGACAAUGGGCGCAAGCCUGAUCCAGCAAUGCCGCGUGCAGGAUGAAGGCC
rnacentral:rRNA from 1 species